rnacentral:rRNA from 1 species
CCCUUAGAUGUUCGGGGCCGCACGCGCGCUACACUGAAGGAAUCAGCACGUCUUUCUCCUUGUCCGAAAGGACUGGGUAACCCGCUGAACCUCCUUCGUGCUAGGGAUUGGGGCUUGUAAUUCUUCCCCAUGAACGAGGAAUUCCCAGUAAGCGCGAGUCAUAAGCUCGCGUUGAUUACGUCCCUGCCCUUUGUACACACCGCCCGUCGCUGCUACCGAUUGGAUGGUUUAGUGAGAUCCUCGGAUUGGUCCCGGAGCGGCCUCUGGUCGUGCCGGAGUGCCGAAAAGAAUGUCGAACUUGAUCAUCUAGAGGAAGUAAAAGUCGUAACA